CUACGGGUUGCAGCAGUGAGGAAUAUUGCACAAUGGGGGGAACCCUGAUGCAGCAACGCCGCGUGGAGGAUGACGCAUUUCGGUGUGUAAACUCCUUUAUAUGUCAAGAAAAUGACGGUAGCAUAUGAAUAAGCACCGGCUAACUCCGUGCCAGCAGCCGCGGUAAUACGGAGGGUGCAAGCGUUACUCGGAAUCACUGGGCGUAAAGGACGCGUAGGCGGGUUGGAAAGUCAGGUGUGAAAUCCUACAGCUUAACUGUAGAACUGCACUUGAAACUUCUAAUCUAGAGUAUGGGAGGGGGAGAUGGAAUUAGUGGUGUAGGGGUAAAAUCCGUAGAUAUCACUAGGAAUACCUAAAGCGAAGGCGAUCUCCUGGAACAUUACUGACGCUAAGGCGUGAAAGCGUGGGGAGCAAACAGGAUUAGAUACCCGGGUAGUC
rnacentral:rRNA from 1 species